rnacentral:rRNA from 1 species
UACGCAGGGGGCUAGCGUUGCUCGGAAUCACUGGGCGUAAAGCGCACGUAGGCGGCUUUCUAAGUCAGAGGUGAAAUCCCGGAGCUCAACUCCGGAACUGCCUUUGAUACUGGAAAGCUUGAGUUCGGGAGAGGUGAGUGGAACUGCGAGUGUAGAGGUGAAAUUCGUAGAUAUUCGCAAGAACACCAGUGGCGAAGGCGGCUCACUGGCCCGAUACUGACGCUGAGGUGCGAAAGCGUGGGGAGCAAACAGG